rnacentral:sRNA from 1 species
GGUUGUCUGCUUUUCUCCUGAAAUUCUGAUAUGAGGGAUGGGCUGGGAUCGCUAUUACUGGGCAGAUGGUUUUCUUUGUAGUCUGGGGGCUGUAGGUGUUGACACUGAUUCCAGUGACAAGAUGACAUGACUGGGAGUCAGUAGACAUGCAAAGAGAGGACACCCUAGAACUUCUUCUUGAAGUGGCUCUUAGCUUAUUUUCUAAGCAGAGUUCAUUCUGGUGAGGCAAGAAGUAGAAUGUCAUCUUUCACUCUUUAAUGCUUUUUAUACCAUAGAUUUGAGACAACUAGCCUGUUAUUCAGCCCAAUAUCCCCCUAUGGUUUUCCCCCAAUCUCCCUAGCCUCUGCUGCGAGAAGUUCUGGAGAAGCAGCCAGUGCUAAGCCAGACCGAGGCCCGCGACUUAGUAGAACGCUGCAUGCGAGUGCUGUACUACCGAGAUGCCCGUUCUUACAACCGGUUUCAAAUCGCCACUGUCACCGAAAAAGGUGUUGAAAUAGAGGGACCAUUGUCUACAGAGACCAACUGGGAUAUUGCCCACAUGAUCAGUGGCUUUGAAUGAAAUACAGAUGCAUUAUCCAGAACUGAAGUUGCCCUACUUUUAACUUUGAACUUGGCUAGUUCAAAGAUAGACUCUUCUUUUGUAAAGUAAAUAAAUUCUUCAAAAUGC